CCUACGGGGGGCAGCAGUGGGGAAUAUUGGACAAUGGGGGAAACCCUGAUCCAGCGACGCCGCGUGAGGGAAGAAGUAUCUAGGUACGUAAAGCUCUUUUAGCAGGAAAGAAAAUGACGGUACCUGACUCUGAAUCCCAGGCUAACUACGUGCCAGCAGCCGCGGUAAUACGUAGGCGGCAAGCGUUAUCCGGAUUUACUGGGUGUAAAGGGGGCGUAGACGGCUGCGUAAGUCAGAGGUGAAAUGCCGGGGCGCAACCCCGGAACUGCCUGUGAUACUGUGAAGCUGGAGUGCAGUCGAGGUAAGCGGAAUGCCUGGUGUAGCGGUGAAAUGCGUAGAUAUCA
rnacentral:rRNA from 1 species